UCGAAGAUAGAUGGGUCCGAGACCAAGGAUGAACAAAAUCUAAAACACGAUGAGGGAAAGUUUAUAUUUGAGAAUGGGGACAGUUAUGUUGGAGAAUACAAACUUGAUCAUGAACGGUUUGUACUGUUUAAGCAAGGUUAACAUUUUGCAUUAUUUUUCUAGUUUUUACGUGGGGUUUACAUAUUAUUCAGAAAUACAUAUACGUAUGUACAUAGUAUGUAUUAGGUUGUCCCGAAAGUUUCUUUCGCGAGUUGCACUCAAUUAUUUUAUGUGGUCGUGUUUAUAUAAAUAGACAAUCUAAUUUCAUAGAUAUUCAUGUUGUAACAACAAUGGAGCAAAAUGAAUCAUGCACAAUUCAGUAAUGUAACAUAAAACAUAAACUAUUGUGCAUGUAUUAUUUAUUAAUAAAGCGAAAGAAACUUUUGGGACAACCUAAUAUUAUGUACAAUAAUGUUAUAGUCUGCGCGUAUAUUUUGUGUAGGAAAAGGAGUGUACAGAACCGAUAACUUUGAUGUAUACGAUGGAGAAUGGGAUAACGAUACUUUUGCUGAUAGCGAAAUUGACAUUCGGUAAUUAGAAUUUGUUUUAGACGUGCUGAAAUAAUUCUUGACGAUACUUUUUAAAGUUUAAAUAAUAAAUACACGAAUGACUGAAGGUAUAAUAACGAUGCUCGGUAUCGAGGUAAAAUCGAUUCGAACGGAAGAAUAAACGGCCAAGGAACGUACACGUUUCCCGACGGAUCCACUAUUCGAGCCGAUUGGUUUGAAAAUAAACCGUUUAAAAAUAUUGUUUAUCGAGAGCCCCUAGGAUUCGCGUGGGUAGUAGAGAACGUAUCGAAGAAUGUAAACGAAUCGAGUAUGAUAACGUUUUCUUCUGGGAACCAUUUCUGGAACGACAUGUUAACGGAUCAGAGCAUCGGAAAUGGUAUCGAAUCCGCUGAAGAAAAUUAACUCUAUCGAGCUCGCAACGAAUCGAAGAACUUGCGCACUCGUUGUC